rnacentral:rRNA from 1 species
AACGAACGCUGGCGGCAUGCCUAACACAUGCAAGUCGAACGAGACCUCCGGGUCUUUUGGCGCACGGCUGCGUAACGCGUGGGAACCUGCCCUUAGGUUCGGAAUAACUCCCCGACAGGGAUGCUAAUACCGGAUAAUCUCUUCCGACCAAAGAUUUAUCGCCUUUGGAUGGGCCCGCGUUGGAUUCGCUGGUUGGUAGGGUAAUAGCCUGCCAAGGCGACGAUCCUUAGCUGGUCUGGGACGCUGAUCAGCCACACUGGGACUGAGACACGGCCCAGACUCCUACGGAAGGGAGCAGAGGGGAAUAUAGGACAAGGGGGGAAAGCCUGAUCCAGCAAUGCCGGGUAAGUGAUGAAGGCGGUAGGGAUGUAAAGCUCUUUUACCCGGGGUGAUAAUGACGGUACCGGGUGAAGAAGCACCGGCUAACUACGUG